AGAGUUUGAUCCUGGCUCAGGAUGAACGCUGGCGGCGUGCCUAACACAUGCAAGUCGAACGAAGCGCCUGCGGCGGACCCCUCCGGGGGAAAGCCGCAGGGGACUGAGUGGCGGACGGGUGAGCAACGCGUGGGCAACCUGCCCCGUACCGGGGGACAACAGCCGGAAACGGCUGCUAAUACCGCAUAUUCCCGCGGGGCCGCAUGGCCCUGCGGGGAAAGCUCCGGCAGUACGGGAUGGGCCCGCGUCUGAUUAGCUUGUUGGCGGGGUAACGGCCCACCAAGGCUGCGAUCAGUAGCCGGCCUGAGAGGGCGGCCGGCCACAUUGGGACUGAGACACGGCCCAGACUCCUGCGGGAGGCAGCAGUGGGGGAUAUUGCACAAUGGGGGGAACCCUGACGCAGCGACGCCGCGUGAACGAAGAAAUAUUUCGGUAUGUAAAGUUCUAUCAGCAGGGAAGAAAAUGACAGUACCUGACCAAGAAGCCCCGGCUAACUACGUGCCAGCAGCCGCGGUAAUACGUAGGGGGCGAGCGUUAUCCGGAUUCACUGGGCGUAAAGGGAGCGCAGGCGGCACGGCAAGUCCGGUGUGAAAGCCCGGGGCCCAACCCCGGGACUGCACUGGAAACUGCCGGGCUGGAGUGUCGGAGGGGCAGGCGGAAUUCCUAGUGUAGCGGUGAAAUGCGUAGAUAUUAGGAGGAACACCGGUGGCGAAGGCGGCCUGCUGGACGACGACUGACGCUGAGGCUCGAAAGCGUGGGGAGCAAACAGGAUUAGAUACCCUGGUAGUCCACGCCGUAAA
rnacentral:rRNA from 1 species